rnacentral:snRNA from 1 species
AUACCUUUCUCGGCCUUUUGGCUAAGAUCAAGUGUAGUAUCUGUUCUUAUCAGUUUAAUAUCUGAUAUGUGGCCCAUUGGGUCACACGAUAUUAAAUUACUUUUUUGAGGGGGAGAGGUCACUACAGUAGCUUGCUAUUGGGCUUUUCGAGUGUCGCCUAUGCGUUGCACUAUUGCAUUGGCUGGCACACCCCAC